rnacentral:lncRNA from 1 species
GUGACACAAGUGACUCAAACAAAAAAUUGUGCACGUGAAAAACGGUUCCGUGUACAUUUCACGUGUUUGUCAGAAGUUGUUGUGCUAUCACAGUCAAUUCUCCUGCAGUAUCUGCUUUGCUGAACAUGUCUAGUGCUUCGAUGGUGCUGUAAGUGUGCUUCCGUUGCGCAGAGGAAUGUGUGAAUUUCACAAUCGAUUUUCUUGAUGCAAGUGAGGAAGGAGGAGCAGGAUGUGAAACUCGGGCUGAAGUGUUGCUUUACUGUUGGGCACAGCUUCAGCUCACAUGUGAAGAAGUCACUGCAGACACACAGAAGCAGAGGAAAGAAAACAUAAACCGAGAUAAAAUGCCCGAGAUCAAAUACAUUGUUCUCUGGUUGCUGCAUAACAUUUCUUUUACUAUGGCAGGGACCAUUGCUGUAUACAGUAUUGAAAGUCAUAAUGCUACUCUGAAAUGCGGAAGUCUGAGUGUUGGUGCCCGCAGAUUAAUUACUUGGAUAUAUAGCAGAAAUUCAACAGCAACAAUGACUGAAAAUCUGACCCUCAAAUACAUGGAGAGAGCUGGAAGACUAAGUGUGGGGCGUGACUGCUCUCUACACAUUUAUAACGUAAGCACUGAAGAUGGUGGACGGUACACCUGUCGAAUAGGACAGGCCGAUAUUACCGAAGCUUAUGUGUCCGUUCUGACUAUUCGUCCACAACGGAUGGCUGACGGCACCAUGAACCUGCAGUGUCUGCUGUACACCUAUGAUGGUCCUGGAAGGUGUCAUAAAGUCCCAUUUCAUAAAGUGAGUCUGAAGUGGCUCAGUGACACAGGGACUGAGAUGCAGACGGACGUCAGGCAUCAGCAACACAAAUCCCCCUGUAACAUCACUCUGACAGUCAAACUGAAGGAGACAAGCAACAGAGAGUGGACGUGUCAGUUGCUCAAUGAGUCAAAAGCGAAGGGAUCACACAGUUACAGCAUAUCCGAAUCCAGCCAGGAUCCACACAAGUUCGUGAUAGCAGGUACUGUAGCUGCAGUGGCCUUGGUCAUGAUCAUCAGUGUGUGUCUUCUCCUCCUGGUGAAGUUCAGGAGGAGAGCAGGUAAGACACGCUACGGCAGCACAGCCGCACAAAUGUGUCUCUCACUGAUUCCUGCCGCAGUCUGUGGCUGACAUAAACCGCCAAGAGAUGUCAUUUUAAUGUUAACGCUCCUGUAUUUCAGGAGAUCGCCCCUGUCGGAGCAAAGUAAGUACACCGACACUAUUCAAGCAUGUCGUGAUUUUAUUUCUGCAAGUUUAUUGUUAUGUUUCACAACCGUCUAUGUCGAUUUGUGUGAACAGAGUGUGAAUAAUUGCAGCCGCUCAGCAGAUGGACAAAGAGACACAGAUGGAAACCUUGACAGCCCCAAUAAUCAAUAUGAAACAGUAAACGUGAGUAAAGGCGAUUUUCCCAAAAGCCUGCUGCACUGUAUUAUAACCCCUGCAUGAUAACCUUUUUUUUCCUCUGUGCAGGAAACCAGUGAAAAUACUUUAACCUAUACUGAGGUCCUAUGUGAACCAUCUAGACAGAAACAAAGAUGUAAACAGGAGGGAGAAAACAACGAAUUCUGCACCGAAUAUGUCACCAUCAAAAUAGCACAAACCUGAGUCACUGGACACAUCUAUAAAACUAUUCCUUAGGCACAGGUUUCCAGACAAUGGGAUGCUUCGCCAAGAUGUUGUUCGGAAAUGAUUUGGGCACCUUUUUCACAACCUUGGACCUGGAUGUUCUGACAGUAUCAGUCUUGAAGCCAUGAUCCAUUCUGGGAAAAGGCAUUUUGCAGAAAUCUGUGUAUGCAUUGCCAUUUAAUAGAAUGCAUUUCUUUAUUAAUGUCAUCAAUUUUGUAAUAACAGAGUUUUCAUGUGCUUUAUGUUUAUGUAGGUACAUAUGGUGUUAUACAGUGAAUUAAUAAAAUUGUGAAAAAGCUGUUAUUCA